UCUCCUGGCUGCUGUGCCCUGAGGGGAUGAGGGGCCUCUGCCCUGUUUCUAGUGGCUUCGGAUAAGUGUUGAGACUCUGCCGAAAACCUCGUGCGGAAAGGAAACUCCCUCCCUGGCCUGUGGACCACGGCCAAGAGAAUUCCUCCCUUUGAGGGUCAUCUCUGUGUGUCCAGCUCCAACUCCUGGCACCGCAAACUGAUCAAGCCCCCUUCAUCUCCCCUCCUCAGCCUGAGUGACUCGUCAGCCCCUCCGCUGAGCAGCCUCAUUUUUCAGUGAGAGAAUCUGAUUGGACGGCCACUGUACGUCACUCCUGACAAAUUCAAAGCCUGGAAGGAUUCAUAUCAGAAAAGUGACGAGGCUUCAAGACUUGGCUCGUCACCCCCUUGGCCCACGGUGAUCCAGCGCAAACGCACCACGCUUGUCAGUUUGGAAAGGGGACCAUGUGUCUGGCUGGCCUGGGCUUGUCAAGGCAACUGAAUAGGAUUUGGUUUGAGGUUGGGGCAAGGAGGUGGCUCUUGGUUUUCUUACCCUGCGUGGUCGGUAAAGGUGGCUGAGGUCAGGGGCUUGAUAGACAAAACAAUCUUUAAAAAGUAGACCUAGGGGCUUCCCUGGUAGCUCAGUGGUUAAGAAUCUGCCUGCCAAUGCAGGGGACACAGGUUUGAGCCCUGGUCCGGGAAGAUCCCACAUGCUACAGAGCAGCUGAGCCCGUGCGCCGCAACUACUGAGUCUGCGCUCUAGAGCCCGUGAGCCACAACUACUGAGCCCACGUGCCACAACUACUGAGCCCGUGCGCCUAGAGCCUGUGCUCCACAACAAGAGAAGCCACCGCAGUGAGAAGCCCGCACACCGCAACGAAGAGUAGCCCCCGCUCGCCGCAACUAGAGAAAGCCCGUGCGCAGCAACGAAGACCCAACGCAGCCAAAAAUAAAUAAAUAAUAAAUAAAUAAAAUUUUAAAAUAAAUAAAUAAAAUAAAAUAAAAAUAGACCUAAGUUGGAAGACUCAUACUUUCUCGAUUUCAAAACAUAGAGUAAGCUACAGUAAUCAAAAAUGUAUACAAAGCUAUAGGAAUCAGGACUGCUUGGUCCUGGCAUGAGGAUAGACCUGUGGAUCAAUGGAAUAGAAUUGAGAGUCUAGAAAUAAAUCCGUAUACUUAUGAUCAAUUGAUUUUAGACAAAUGUGUCAAGACAAUUUGGUGGGGAAUGAAUAGU